rnacentral:rRNA from 1 species
CAGUCGCCACGGUAAUACGAAGGGGGCUAGCGUUGCUCGGAAUCACUGGGCGUAAAGGGUGCGUAGGCGGGUCUUUAAGUCAGGGGUGAAAUCCUGGAGCUCAACUCCAGAACUGCCUUUGAUACUGAAGAUCUUGAGUUCGGGAGAGGUGGGUGGAACUGCGAGUGUAGAGGUGAAAUUCGUAGAUAUUCGCAAGAACACCAGUGGCGAAGGCGGCUCACUGGCCCGAUACUGACGCUGAGGCACGAAAGCGUGGGGAGCAAACAGGAUUAGAUACCCCCGUAGUCCCUGUCUCUUAUAC